GAUGAACGCUGGCGGCGUGCCUAAUACAUGCAAGUCGAGCGAACAGAUGAGGAGCUUGCUCCUCUGACGUUAGCGGCGGACGGGUGAGUAACACGUGGAUAACCUACCUAUAAGACUGGGAUAACUUCGGGAAACCGGAGCUAAUACCGGAUAAUAUAUUGAACCGCAUGGUUCAAUAGUGAAAGACGGUUUUGCUGUCACUUAUAGAUGGAUCCGCGCCGCAUUAGCUAGUUGGUAAGGUAACGGCUUACCAAGGCAACGAUGCGUAGCCGACCUGAGAGGGUGAUCGGCCACACUGGAACUGAGACACGGUCCAGACUCCUACGGGAGGCAGCAGUAGGGAAUCUUCCGCAAUGGGCGAAAGCCCGACGGAGCAACGCCGCGUGAGUGAUGAAGGUCUUCGGAUCGUAAAACUCUGUUAUUAGGGAAGAACAAAUGUGUAAGUAACUAUGCACGUCUUGACGGUACCUAAUCAGAAAGCCACGGCUAACUACGUG
rnacentral:rRNA from 1 species